rnacentral:tRNA from 1 species
GAGAGAGGCUCGCAGCAACAAAGACUGCUAAUCUUUGUCAUCUUGGUUGAACUCCAGGGCUCACUCG